GGUAGCCUUGUUUUCAGCCAGUGCAGAAGUAUCUUGCGACAAAUCUACAUUUUCAAUUGAUGGAUCAACUGACAUCCGUGCGAGCCAUCGAAACUUAUUAUCUUGCAAUACAAAAGUGCCUCUAUGAUUUGUUUUCAAGUUGUCUAUUUGCUUCUUGAAGACCUCAGACCAGAAGUCUUUACAGAUGAACUUUAUUGCCUC
rnacentral:misc_RNA from 1 species